AGGUGCGAUCAUACCAGCACUAAUGCACCGGAUCCCAUCAGAACUCCGCAGUUAAGCGUGCUUGGGCGAGAGUAGUACUAGGAUGGGUGACCACCUGGGAAGUCCUUGUAUUGCACCUC
rnacentral:rRNA from 2 species